CAAGCCCUACGGGACGCAGCAGUGAGGAAUAUUGGUCAAUGGUCGGGAGACUGAACCAGCCAAGCCGCGUGAGGGAGGAAGGUACAGAGUAUCGUAAACCUCUUUUGUCAGGGAACAAAGACUGGGACGCGUCCCCGGAUGAGUGUACCUGAAGAAAAAGCAUCGGCUAACUCCGUGCCAGCAGCCGCGGUAAUACGGAGGAUGCGAGCGUUAUCCGGAUUUAUUGGGUUUAAAGGGUGCGCAGGCGGUCUGUUAAGUCAGCGGUCAAAGCCCGGGGCUCAACCCCGGCCCGCCGUUGAAACUGG
rnacentral:rRNA from 1 species